CUGUAGGCAAACCCUGUAAGUACGGAAUAAGCGCGCAGGCACCAGGCAGGCAUAACAUGCAGUGUCGUACGGGUAUGAGAAGCGUGGUGGCUGUCCUGGACAAAAGUUAAACGCACAAAGUAACGCUUCCCGACAUCAGCAGCCAUUUGCAAGCUGGCGAAACUACUGCAACUCCUUAACAUCGAUUCUCGGGACCUUCUUCAUCCGUGCGAAACUAUCCAGGCGGCACCAGACGACAAGCAGGCAGGAACCCACCUUGGAAGGGACGCCAGCAGAACUAAAGACCCGUCUCAAAUACAGUUGUGUAGACCAUGCCUGCCAUGAUGAUAUUCCCCCCAAUCCAUAAGAGAGCAAAUAGCCUGGAAUGGUUCCUGAAGUUCAGAGAAGACCACCACGUCUGCUCAUCCACCUUGUGUGCACCACGCAGAAUAAAAGCAGAUCCAGUUGGUCUCCUGAAUACGCCAACCAGAUGCCACUUUCCAUGGAGGCUGAUGUCCAGCAGCAGGCAAAUGUGACUAAGACAGAAGGGAUGGUUAAAGGAUGCCAAUCUCUUUGCAAUUUUCCUUUUUGUUUUAUAACCUAUCUAAGUUACCUCCCAACUGAGGAUUCCUGAUAAACUUUCUUUUUUGAAGGUUUAAAUCAACAGAACUUCUGCCCCUAUCGUUCUGCAUUUGCUUUAACUUGUUUAACAAGCUUCCUUUCCUUAAAAACACAGAUUCUGGUAAAGUGAGCCUCCUGAUAUGACCAAAGGUGAGCUAAUUAUCCAGAUGAUUCAUUUAUUCUUUUCAGACCUGCCAAUUGCAUUGCUGCAACAUAAAUUUUCCUAAUGCUGUCAUUUUUACUAAAGGGUGGCAAUCCAGAAGGUGUCAUUGAGAAUGAUUCUCAGGUUGUCAAACACUGGGUAAUAAUAAGAAAGAAAUAAACAGGUCUACUAGCCGCUGUAUUCCAUCACGUUCAGGGACGGUUGCUCUGCAGAUCACCUCAGAUUUCAAAACACCGGUGGUGUGUGGAUCCGGGGAUAGGUCUGAUAUCAGAAAGAUUUUUUUUUUUCUAAAAGAAUUUUAUUUCCCAUUUCAGUACAGACAAUACAUUUCAGUCAAUUAGAUUUAAAGUGGACACCACAAAGUAGGAAUUGCAUGAAUGUGAACUCCUUGUUGUCCUGUUGUUAUUCCUGAAGAUUCAUGCAACUCCUUAAAGGAAUCCGCUCCCCAGAAAUGAUACCAUUUAUUGGUUGCUUACCCCAUGUGUUUUGUAAUAAUGAGUUAAAACUUUAACAAAUGUUUAAAAAGUGAGGUAGAGUAGUGACCAACAGCAAACAAUAUAAAAAAAAAUCAAAUUCCCAUUUCCUGUAUUGCGUAAUCCACGUGUCAGCUAUCCAGGACUCAUAGCAUGCAGAACACGUGCAUUUUAUGCUAAAAUACCAUUCAGUGUUUAUAUAAUACUAUAUUGUCUGGUCAAGAGUCCUGUCUUCAUUUGUAAAGCACAGUAUUGUGAGAAAGUGUUUCUCAUUCAUGAUGUGUGCUGAUUUUUCCAGAAUUGUCUAUUUUUUGAGCAUAAAAUCCACGCGUCUUGCAUGUGGUGAGCAAACAAUUGGAUACGUGACCCGAGUAACACGAGAUUUCGUUUUCUUUUAUUCCCAUCGUUUGCCGUUGUAUAACCUUAGUCUCAAUUUAAUAUCAAAAACGUUUUAUUGUUGUUGUCCUGAAAACAUGGGAUUUCAUUUUUUCUUUCUUGGUCCUCAUUGCACAACACAUAUAAAAAAAAUGUUAAGUAGAUGUUUUAAAGAUGAUUUUAAAAUAAUGAGAAAUGGUGUGCCUGGUGGAAAGUUUCAUUUUUGGAAGUGAAUGAGUGUCUUGAAACUUUAAAGAGCUGGUGUGAUUCCUGGCACAAGGAAACCCCAAUGGGGGCAUCAAAACGCACUAUGGUUUUAUGUUUGAAAUGGUUUUAUCUGGACGUUAUUUUUAUUUGCCAUUACCAUGUACUUGCAGUCUACAAGGUAACUUCGCAGAGCAAAGUCUGGACCUGGCCUGACACAUUACCCGACUAACGCAUGUCCUCUUCAUAUCCAGAUGGGUUUCUGCAGAGACAUGCAGGUUACUUGGAUGUGUGUGUGUGUGUGUGUGUGUGUGUGUGUGUGUUCACCCUGGCAUCCUGUCCAGGUAUUGUUCCUGCCUUGUGCCCUUAGCUUGCUGGGUUGGGCUUCAGCUUCCCAGUGAUCCUGCUUGGGAUUAAACAGGUUUAGAAAAUGGAUGGAUGGAUUUAUUGCCAGAAUAUGUGCAUGAUGUUAUUGUGUUCACAAUAAUGAUUGCUUAAAUGAUACCUUAUUGGCAUGACAUCAUCAUCCUCAUCGUUAUUCAAAUCAGAGUUGCCCGGGGUGUUGCCUACCCCAUGGGCAUUAGACACAUGGCAGGAAACAGCGCCAGACAGGAUGCCGCUUCAUUAUGAGCGGGUAACAUCAGAUUUACACUGUAGUGACAUCAAAAUGAGGAAGAGGAAGCUUUUGCGUGUUUCGUUUCUUUUUAUGUUGCAGCAAUGCAAAGCAAAAUCAUAAUAAUUGUUAGGGAAAUGGGGGCACACACUUUCGCCUCAGGAAUUCAUAUGAGUGAACCGCUUUUGCAGCUUAGGUUUGUAUUUUUUACAGACUGUAGUGCCUUUUAAUGGAGGCAAAUCAUAUGCAAAUGGUUUUAUGUUUAUUGUUCACAUUGUGAAUGAAUGCAUUUGUGAAAAUUAUGGUUUACAAGUUUACAAUUCAUUUGUAUUAGUAUUAUUAUGAUGUGUAUGAGAUGUUCUUCAUUUCAAGCGUUGCAUACUCUAUUUGUAUUUAUUUGUGUGGUGUAAUGACAUUUGUUCAUUUUAAGUAUUAAUAAUGAGUAUGUAAAUGCAGUCACUAGCAGUAGGACAUUAUGUGUUUAGUUAAUUAAGCUCAGCACAUCAAUGGUGUAAUUGAUGAGCUGUUGAGCAGUAAAUGCAUGUGACAUGCGUAUUGUACGGUUUGAUGUUAAGUAUGUAGUUGAUGUCUGUUGACGCUCUGCAUACACUUGUGUCCAUACUGUGUAUUGGUAAUAAAUGGAGUGCCAAAGCGCACUCCUUGCACUGCAAACGGAUUACUGUUUACAGCCCAAAGUGCCCUUAUUGUGCAUAGUAAAGCAAUAUUGUGCAUAUAUGGUGCCACUGAAAGGGCCAAAUUCAAAUGGAGAGCUGGGUCUUGGAAAUCUUUUCCUGGGAUCCUUUGCUGCCAUCCAGAGAUCUUCAUACGUCUUAUGAAAUUAGCCUCUUGCUUUGGUGCCACCUGGAAUGUUUUGUGUCCCCUCUGGUGGCCACUGCUUUCCCACACUGAGCCUUGAAUUGGUUCUCCAGACGCCCGCGUUGGCUUGUUUCAUAAGUAGCCCACCCGGCUGGUAACUUCUGUCAGUUGGGGAAGCUGUCACGGUGGAUACCCUGUGGCUAACAGGUCACAGCUAACUGUGGAUUGAGGGUGGAGUACUAAGUCGAGAUCAGUCCAUUCUGCCUUGUCCCGUGAGAGUGUACAUCCCGAUUGUACUUGUUUGGUGUUAUUCGAUUGUCAUUUUUCACUUGUUGACUCUUCUCUGUUUCUGUGUUUGAAUUGUCUCCCUCAUGAAGAAACGGUGUAAUGAGCAGUUCUUUUUUUUUUCCAUGACUGCUCACUAGAGGAUCCAUCCUCAUAAUGUUCUGGCCUUUUCUCACACUACGACUGUCCCAAUUUACUUCCUCAAUACUGUAGAAGGCACCUUGAAUUUGUUUUUCUUGUUUUUCUCAUAUUUGUUUUCAAAUCCAUUUUGUUUUGUUCCCUUUACUUUACCUUCGCUGUUUCAUUUGUCUGUUGACUCUUCAAUAAACUGUAAAACUUAACUGUAAAA